rnacentral:rRNA from 1 species
GACGAACGCUGGCGGCGUGCUUAACACAUGCAAGUCGAGCGGUAAGGCCCUUCGGGGUACACGAGCGGCGAACGGGUGAGUAACACGUGGGUGACCUGCCUCUAGCUCUGGGGAUAAGCCUGGGAAACUGGGUCUAAUACCGGAUAUGACUCCACGGCGCAUGUUGUGGGGUGGAAAGCCUUGUGUGGCUAGAGAUGGGCCCGCGGCCUAUCAGCUUGUUGGUGGGGUGAUGGCCUACC